GUUGCGACAUGUUGUAACUUAUAAAUUUUGGUUGGAAGGGUGCGUAAACAAUAAAUGAGAGUUUUCGCCCAUCUUAUAUUUAAAUCAUGCCUAAAGUGAUAUAACUCAUUAACCAUACAUAUUACAGACCUAGGGUCUUUUUAUUUGAGGUCCUUGGUUAGUGACCUUGAAAUUGAGGUCAAGGUCAAAGGUUAAUAGGACGUUCUAGAUUUUGAUCUCUGCUUUAAAUUCAGAUUUAUACAUUAUAAAGUCAUAGGAAC
rnacentral:lncRNA from 1 species